AUUUAGAGGAAGUAAAAGUCGUAACAAGGUCUCCGUUGGUGAACCAGCGGAGGGAUCAUUACAGAGUUAUCCAACUCCCAAACCCAUGUGAACAUAUCUCUUUGUUGCCUCGGCGCAAGCUACCCGGGACCUCGCGCCCCGGGCGGCCCGCCGGCGGACAAACCAAACUCUGUUAUCUUCGUUGAUUAUCUGAGUGUCUUAUUUAAUAAGUCAAAACUUUCAACAACGGAUCUCUUGGUUCUGGCAUCGAUGAAGAACGCAGCGAAAUGCGAUAAGUAAUGUGAAUUGCAGAAUUCAGUGAAUCAUCGAAUCUUUGAACGCACAUUGCGCCCUUUGGUAUUCCAAAGGGCAUGCCUGUUCGAGCGUCAUUUGUACCCUCAAGCUUUGCUUGGUGUUGGGCGUCUUGUCUCUAGCUUUGCUGGAGACUCGCCUUAAAGUAAUUGGCAGCCGGCCUACUGGUUUCGGAGCGCAGCACAAGUCGCACUCUCUAUCAGCAAAGGUCUAGCAUCCAUUAAGCCUUUUUUUCAACUUUUGACCUCGGAUCAGGUAGGGAUACCCGCUGAACUUAAGCAUAUCAAUAAG
rnacentral:rRNA from 1 species